rnacentral:rRNA from 1 species
AUGGAUGAAGAAGAGGUUCAUAUCGCGAUCGGGAAGAAUUUCAGAAAGGAGAAAGCUAACAUACUAUGGGCUGCUGCAAAUUUCCCAAGGGCUACCAUAGUUCUUAUCCACGUUCAUUGGCCAUCCAAGUGGAUGCCCUUCAUGGGUGGAAAGCUGCUAUACAAGUUUGCAGAUGAAAAGGAGAAGGAGAUGCAUAGAGGUAGAGAAACGGAGGCAAUGGUCAAGAUGCUAUCACAAUAUAAAAGCCUAUGUGAUGAUACAAGAGAGGUUAGGGCACAUUACCUUACACAUGAUGACAUUCUUACUGGUGUUGUAAACCUGGUAAAGAAGCUCAAAGUCAAGAGAAUUGUCAUCGGGUCAAGGAACAUGUCAAAGAAAGCGGUUCUUCGUAAAUGCUCUCAGGUUUGGGUGGUGAUUAAUGGCAAAUAUCUGUCCACUAGCAAUGAUCAUCUGGAGCAUACUGGAGGCACUGGAUAUGGAGGGAGCUCUGAGUUUUUGCCAUCUAUGCAUGAGCUGAGCGACGAAUCUGAUGGCUAUGCAACACCACCAAGUGAUUUUUAUGUAUCAUUUCAGGAAGACGAUGUCGUGGAUGAGGAUGGGGUGAUUCCAAUGGAUGGUGAUGAACAAUUGGAAAAGUAUGAUGUGCAGGAAGCUGAACAAGGCAUUUUGGAAAUAAAUGCUUCUGAGUUAGUGGGCAAAAUUUCUGGUGAUGACAUACGGAAUUCCAGAAAUAUGAGUGAAGAGUCUGAAAAAUUGAUGGAGGAAAUGGAAAAACUACAAAGGAAAUUGAAAGAGCUGCAAGAUGAGGGGUAUAAUUAUGAAGAAAGCAUCUUGUCGCCAAGAAGAAAGAAUGUAUUGUUGAAGGAGAAAACGUUACCAAAACAAAGAUACCCAGAGCUGCAAAUCCCAGAACAUAUUGUGCAGUACUCCAUGUCGCGUAUUGGGAAAGCGACCAAUAACUUCUACUCAAGAAACCUCAUAGGGGAAGGAGGCUAUGGCCUAGUGUACAAAGGAAAACUAGGUGGUAUGCCAGUGGCUAUCAAGCUGUUGAGACCCCAUGGUAAACACCAUGGUAGACAAGGUUUUCCAGAGUAUCAGCAGGAGGUCGUUGUGCUGAGCAGAGUCAAGCACCCACACAUCGUGAAGCUGAUCGGCGUGUGCCCGGAAUCAUGCGGCCUCGUCUACGAGUACCUCCCCAACGGCACACUCAUGGACGGGCUCUCCAAGGGGCUUCCAUGGAAGGACCGUAUCAGGAUCCUCAGCGAACAGCGUUCCGCGCUGGCGCACCUCCACUCGAGCCGACCCCACGCCAUCAUCCACGCGGACCUGAAGCUGACGAACAUCCUCCUCGAUGCCGGGAACGUGAGCCGGCUAGGAGACUUCGGGACGGCGCGCGUAGUGCAGAUGAAGCCGCUGGAGGAGGACACCAUCUGCCGGCGGACGAACCCGAUGGGCACGAUGGGGUACAUGGACCCCGUCUUCUUCACGACAGGCGAGCUCACUGCAGAGUCGGACGUCUACGCGUUCGGCGUGGUGAUCCUGCAGGUCCUCACGGGGCUGCUCGACCUCAACAUCGUCGAGCAGGUGCAGGAGGCGAUGAAGAUGGACGCCGUGCACGGCCUGCUGGACGCCUCCGCUGGCACCUGGCCAGAGGUGCAGGCGGAGCGGCUCAUGCGACUGGCGCUGAGGUGCUGCAACCUGGAGCGGAACCGGCGGCCAGCUGCCACCUCUGACGCCGACUGGCGAUCGCUGGACAUCCUGCGGACCAUGGCGACUGCAAGUAAAUCCCGGAAAUGGAGUCAUGCAAACUGA